GACGAAGGAUGCAAGCGUUAUCCGGAUUCAUUGGGUUUAAAGGGAGCGUAGGCGGACUUGUAAGUCAGUGGUGAAAUCUGUGGGCUUAACCCACAAACUGCCAUUGAUACUGCAGGUCUAGAGUACAGUUGCCGUUGGCGGAAUAUGACAUGUAGUGGUGAAAUACUUAGAUAUGUCAUAGAACACCGAUUGCGAAGGCAGCUAACGAAGCUGUAACUGACGCUGAGGCUCGAAAAGUGCGGGGGAUCAAACAGG
rnacentral:rRNA from 1 species